UGUUUCGGCUAGGGGGCCAUCCCGGCUUACCAACCCGAUGCAAACUGCGAAUACCGGAGAAUGUUAUCACGGGAGACACACGGCGGGUGCUAACGUCCGUCGUGAAGAGGGAAACAACCCAGACCGCCAGCUAAGGUCCCAAAGUCAUGGUUAAGUGGGAAACGAUGUGGGAAGGCCCAGACAGCCAGGAUGUUGGCUUAGAAGCAGCCAUCAUUUAAAGAAAGCGUAAUAGCUCACUGGUCGAGUCGGCCUGCGCGGAAGAUGUAACGGGGCUAAACCAUGCACCGAAGCUGCGGCAGCGACACUUUAGUGUUGUUGGGUAGGGGAGCGUUCUGUAAGCCGUUGAAGGUGUCCUGUGAGGGGUGCUGGAGGUAUCAGAAGUGCGAAUGCUGACAUAAGUAACGAUAAAGCGGGUGAAAAGCCCGCUCGCCGGAAGACCAAGGGUUCCUGUCCAACGUUAAUCGGGGCAGGGUGAGUCGACCCCUAAGGCGAGGCCGAAAGGCGUAGUCGAUGGGAAACGGGUUAAUAUUCCCGUACUUGGUGUUACUGCGAAGGGGGGACGGAGAAGGCUAUGUUGGCCGGGCGACGGUUGUCCCGGUUUAAGCGUGUAGGUGUGUGUUCCAGGUAAAUCCGGUUCACUUUAACACUGAGGCGUGAUGACGAGGCACCACGGUGCUGAAGCAACAAAUGCCCUGCUUCCAGGAAAAGCCUCUAAGCAUCAGGUAACAUCAAAUCGUACCCCAAACCGACACAGGUGGUCAGGUAGAGAAUACCAAGGCGCUUGAGAGAACUCGGGUGAAGGAACUAGGCAAAAUGGUGCCGUAACUUCGGGAGAAGGCACGCUGACACGUAGGUGAAGUGAUUUACUCAUGGAGCUGAAGUCAGUCGAAGAUACCAGCUGGCUGCAACUGUUUAUUAAAAACACAGCACUGUGCAAACACGAAAGUGGACGUAUACGGUGUGACGCCUGCCCGGUGCCGGAAGGUUAAUUGAUGGGGUCAGCGCAAGCGAAGCUCCUGAUCGAAGCCCCGGUAAACGGCGGCCGUAACUAUAACGGUCCUAAGGUAGCGAAAUUCCUUGUCGGGUAAGUUCCGACCUGCACGAAUGGCGUAAUGAUGGCCAGGCUGUCUCCACCCGAGACUCAGUGAAAUUGAACUCGCUGUGAAGAUGCAGUGUACCCGCGGCAAGACGGAAAGACCCCGUGAACCUUUACUAUAGCUUGACACUGAACAUUGAGCCUUGAUGUGUAGGAUAGGUGGGAGGCUUUGAAGCGUGGACGCCAGUCUGCGUGGAGCCGACCUUGAAAUACCACCCUUUAAUGUUUGAUGUUCUAACGUGGACCCGUAAUCCGGGUUGCGGACAGUGUCUGGUGGGUAGUUUGACUGGGGCGGUCUCCUCCUAAAGAGUAACGGAGGAGCACGAAGGUUGGCUAAUCCUGGUCGGACAUCAGGAGGUUAGUGCAAUGGCAUAAGCCAGCUUGACUGCGAGCGUGACGGCGCGAGCAGGUGCGAAAGCAGGUCAUAGUGAUCCGGUGGUUCUGAAUGGAAGGGCCAUCGCUCAACGGAUAAAAGGUACUCCGGGGAUAACAGGCUGAUACCGCCCAAGAGUUCAUAUCGACGGCGGUGUUUGGCACCUCGAUGUCGGCUCAUCACAUCCUGGGGCUGAAGUAGGUCCCAAGGGUAUGGCUGUUCGCCAUUUAAAGUGGUACGCGAGCUGGGUUUAGAACGUCGUGAGACAGUUCGGUCCCUAUCUGCCGUGGGCGCUGGAAGACUGAGGGGGGCUGCUCCUAGUACGAGAGGACCGGAGUGGACGCAUCACUGGUGUUCGGGUUGUCAUGCCAAUGGCACUGCCCGGUAGCUAAAUGCGGAAAAGAUAAGUGCUGAAAGCAUCUAAGCACGAAACUUGCCCCGAGAUGAGUCUUCCCUGAGACCUU
rnacentral:rRNA from 1 species